UGAUGGAGCUAACUAGAAUUCAUUAGUGUCUGAACGCUAAGAAAAAUGUAAUAAGGAGAUAAUGACAAAAUAUUACCAAGAAGUACAGACUAAUCGCCGUGCCAGCAGUCGCGGUAAAACGGCUUGUACAAACGUUAGUCCUCUUUACUAGGCUUAAAGGGUUCGUAGGCAGCCUUCUCAGGAAAAAAAAGGGAAGGAUAGAAUCUAAUUGAGGAUACAUACAAUACACAUAUGAGAGGCUAUAUUCUUAGACUAUUUUGUAGAGUGAUGAUGGCGAAGGCAAUUAUCCAGGUAAGAUUGACGCUGAGGAACUAAGGUUUGGAUAGGAAACAGGAUUUGAGACCCAGGUACCCCAUACAUUCAACAAUGAAUGCUAGAUAUUAGUAUUAAAUUAUUAGUGUCGAUGUGAAACACGUUAAGCAUUCCGCCUUGGUAGUAUACUUGCAAAAGUGAAAUCAAAAAAAUUAGUCAGUUACGAAGUAAACGAAGUGAAGCAUGUUGUUCAAUACGAUAAUCCG
rnacentral:rRNA from 1 species